GUCAACCUUUGGACAUUGGCAUUGACUAAGUGUAAGGUCUGAUUAAGUAAACCUCGGGAGCUUAACCUGCUUAAGGUCUGUGUGAAGCACCUCGAGAGCGAAAAACAUAAACGAAAAGGCGAAGCAAAUAUACCCUUAAAAGCUAAGCUGAUAUUGAUGAGAUAUUAUUUUUCCAAUUCACAUUUUUAAAGAUAGGAAAUAUAGCACAGGGAAGUCUUAGGAAUAGGAUAUCUUAAGAAUAGCAAGAUAGAAGAAUAAGAAUAAGCUAUUAUAUUACUUUAGAUGAGACAGUUCCCAAAUGGAUGCAUCAAUUAUAUAAGCUACACGACUGUAACCUAAGGGAGAGGCAUCUUCUAUGUGUGAUAUAUUAUACACUCCAUGAGAUUACUAAAAAGUGUAAAUAUCUUUUGAAAUAUAACUGCAAAUGGGAGUACAGCAAAUAUUUAAGUUAUAUCAAAACAUAUAUGUAUAUCUAACUAAGUAUAUAUUUAUAUAGACUUUUGUUCAUUUUCUCAGCCCACUUGUCUGCGGAACAUAAAAAAACGCCAUAUGUUGCGUUGAACUGGUUUUAUUGUUGCUGCUGCUGUUGUUGUUGUAGUUGCUGUUGUUGCAGUUGUUGUUGUUGAGUGCAAAAAUAAACAAAAUGUUUUGCGUCUUGACAGCUAUAGCCUUUUCGGCACAUUUCGUCAAGUCGUGUGCAAAAAUGUGACAAUAAAAGACUUGAAAGCAGGCCAACUCAGUCAAAACACGUUCCACACACUCGCAAGCACACACACACACACAGCCGAGUUUAGCCAACUGUUAAAGUUGAUGCUAAAAUGCGUUGACAACUGCUCGAAAUCAACUCCCACAAUCGUCAAAGAUGCACAUUGAAUGCUUCGCUGCGUCGUCGUCGUCAAUGAAAGUGCAACAGAUACUCGCUGUUUCCGAUAUGCCACGCCCAUGACGUCUACCGUCUGCAGUCAGCCGCCCGCCGCCUCUGCCCACAUGUCAACCUCAAUGAACAAUGAGCAAUGAAAUAACUGCAAGUGUCUGUUGAACCAUUUAACUGUAAAUCAACUUUAAUGGAUGUGACUCGCGCUUAGUCCACAAGGGGACAGAGAGCGAGAGGGGGAGGGGGCGUGGCCCAGGCCAAGCUUCAGGAAUGUAGCCGCAUUGUUGACCCCCAAGAAACGCGCUCAAUUGAAUUAAUCUACAAAAAUCUUUGAUUUACUUAAAUAAAGUCUUGGCUUAGUUGCUCCGUAGCUUUGCAGAAAAUCGACAACUGACAAAAGCUACACUGAGAAAAAUAUUGUAUUGAAAUAAGAAAACGAAGCUUUACUCUCUGAUUGAUUGAUUGACUGGAAAUUGGGAAAAGUAUCCCCGUUGAUUGAAUUACAAACUGACUGAUGGACUGACUCACUUACUGAUUGGUUGAUUGAACUAUAAACUAAAUGAAACCUCCACUGGCUGCCCCUCGGCUUACCCUCGCAUUGAUGUCCGACGUACUGACUGAUCGUCUACUUAGCUACUAACUGAUUGACGAUCAAUGAUGGAUGAACUAAGCUAAAACUUACUUCAGAGCUUGCCUGCUCUUAAUACCUCAAUUGAUCACCUUCGCCCAGACCCCAUUUCCACUUAAUUAUAGACUUAGCUUAGCUUAGAUAGAGCGUUUAACUAGCUUGCAUUGCUCAGCCAAUUCUUAUGAAUAAUAAAUUAUUAUCUAAAAGGCCCACACGAAGCAGAAGCACGAAUGAAUUUCCAAUGAAAUUUCCUGAUUAGCUAUUAUAAGGGCAGCUCGUAUAUUUAAAUUAUUUUUAUUUUUAUUAUUAUAAUUUUAUUGCUUAUUUCUUGGCAUUCACACGAAAGUGAGUCACAAUAGCGACGAUAAUCCCCAUUGCAAAUUAACUGUUUGUUGCUAUAUUUUAGAACAAAUAAACGGUUUCACAAAAGUAUUGUUGACCUUCGCAAAUAAAAUAAAUAAUAAUAAAUACAAAAUUUCAAGUGAAACACUCAAAGCGUUGCUAAAUUACUUCCCCAACAGCAACAACAACUUGAAGUAAGAAACAUAACUUCGUUUUUUCCGCUCAUGAAUCAACUGCAAAAAACUCAAUUUAAAAGCGUACAAAAUUGUUGUUUUUUUAUUUUAAAUUUUUUUUUUUUUUUUUUUUUAGGGAGUCUAUUGCAUUCCGAGUUUUAGCUAAAAACAGAACCGUCAUAAAACUUUUUGAAAGCCAAUAAACAAAAGAUCAAUCAUUUGAUAAAGAAAACAUGAACAAGCAUUAAACAACAACAAUAAAAGAAGAACAUAAUCAACAAGGGAAUCAUAAAUGUCGCAGUCAAAAAAUAUCAAAACACUUUAGUGUUGCAAAGUGCCACAAAGCGAAUGCCAGACGAAGAAAGCAAGACGAUGGCAGUGCCUGAGAAUGAUAUACCUCAACUCUAAUUUUAGAUGGAAUGGUGCAAGUGGAUAUAUAUUUAAAAUUGUAGAAUUUUUAUAUAUACGAAUAGAUUUAGAUUGUCUUAACUA